rnacentral:rRNA from 1 species
GCUUGACUGUAUCUUGGAAUUGGGUUCGGGCUUUUCUUGCGCAGACUAGGUGGGAGGCUAUGAAGAUUUUCUUCUGGGAAAGUUGGAGCCAACAGUGAGAGACCACUCUGGAAAGGCUAGAAUCCUAAUGGUGAUCCUUGAAUCAGGACACUUGACAGUUUCAGGUGGGCAGUUUUUCUGGGGCGGAAGCCUCAUAAAAGGUAACUGAGGCGCGCAAAGGUCCCCUCAGUCUGGACGGAAAUCAGACAUUGAGUGUAAAGGCAAAAGGGGGCUUGACUGCAAGACCCACAAGUCGAGCAGGGGCGAAAGCUGGCCUUAGUGAUCCGACGGUGCCGUGUGGAAGGCCGUCGCUCAACGAAUAAAAGUUA